rnacentral:lncRNA from 1 species
GGAUCUUACACAGACUUUGCAGGACAGAGCUGCCCUCGCACAGCAAAGCAGAGGGAAUCUGAGAACUAAACAAGAGGCACCACCGCUGACUUCGUGUUUGCCCAAACCCUCACUCUGAUAUCCAGCUCAAGCUGUCUGUCUGUCUGUGCAGGACCUGUCACGCUCCAGAAACAACUCCAAACAAAGAAAAGCUAGCCUGGUUGAGCAGUGAUGGAUGGAGCUCAGGAGCUGGGGUGACAGCAGCAUUUAUUUUCUCUCAGGGCGACUGAAAUAAGAGCCUCAUUUCAGGUGUUGGACGAAUCUUUGUGCAGUUCAACCACUGCACGUGGCAAGGAGAGUCCUGAGAGGACUCUGGAUGAAUCCUGUGUGCUUUUGACAAGGAACUGAGAGGCCACUGAUAGUUUCUGCUCUUAAUUUACUCUGCAGAAAUGCCUCU